rnacentral:rRNA from 1 species
UACAGAGGUCUCAAGCGUUGUUUGGAUUCAUUGGGCGUAAAGGGUGUGUAGGUGGCGCCGUAAGUCGGGUGGGAAAAUUUCGGAGCUUAACUCCGAAACUGCAUUCGAUACUGCGGUGCUUGAGGACUGGAGAGGAGACUGGAAUUCGAUGGUGUAGCAGUGAAAUGCGUAGAGAUCAUGAGGAAGACCAGUGGCGAAGGCGGGUCUCUGGACAGUUCCUGACACUGAGACACGAAGGCCAGGGGAGCAAACGGG